rnacentral:rRNA from 1 species
CCUACGGGAGGCUGCAGUAAGGAAUAUUGGUCAAUGGACGAAAGUCUGAACCAGCCAUCCCGCGUGCAGGAUGAAAGCCCUAUGGGUUGUAAACUGCUUUUAGCAGAGAAGAAAAGCUUUCAUUAAUGAGAGUCUGACGGUAUCUGCAGAAUAAGCACCGGCUAACUCCGUGCCAGCAGCCGCGGUACUACGGAGGGUGCGAGCGUUAUCGGGAGUUACUGGGUUUAAGGCGUAGUUUGAAGUCGUAGUAGAAAUCUUGUCGCUUAACGAUAAAAUGGCCAAUGAUACUGGUACUCUUGAAUUGGGUUGAGGUUAGCGGAAUGUGACAUGUAGCGGUGAAAUGCAUAGAUAUGUCAUGGAACACCAAUUGCGAAGGCAGCUAACUGGGCCUUGAUUGACGCUGAGGCACGAAAGCGUGGGUAGCGAACAGGAUUAGAUACCCUUGUAGUC